AAAUGAAUAGACGGGGACCCGCACAAGCGGUGGAACAUGUGGUUUAAUUCGACGAUAAGCGGAGAACCUUACCGAGGUUUGACAUCCCAAGAAAUCCGGUGAAAGCUGGACGUGCCCGCAAGGGAACUUGGUGACAGGUGCUGCAUGGCUGUCGUCAGCUCGUGUCGUGAGAUGUUGGGUUAAGUCCUUCAACGAGCGCAACCCUCAUUCUGUGUUACUUUUUCACAGAAAACUGCCUUGGUCAACAGGGAGGAAGGUGGGGAUGACGUCAAGUCAGCAUGGCCCUUACACCUCGGGCCACACACGUGUUACAAUGGCCGGUACAAUGAGUCGCAAACCUGUGAAGGGAAGCCAAUCUCAUCAAAACCGGUCUCAGUUCGGAUUGAAGGCUGCAACUCGCCUUCAUGAAGUUGGAAUCGCUAGUAACCGCAGGUCAGCUAUACUGCGGUGAAUUUGUUCCCGGGUCUUGUACACACCGCCCGU
rnacentral:rRNA from 1 species